CUCCAAAACAUGGAGUAUUUUUAUUUUGUCAUUUCUAAUGCAGACCGUGGGAUGUUCUCAAAGUUAAAAUAACACCUUGUUGUGCUGUAUAUCUCAGACACUGUGUUCAGUAUGCUAAGUAUGACAUACUCAGAUUAUAUAUAAAACCCACACCCAUCUAUACCCCUGCAUUAGGAUUUUUUUUUUUUUUUUUUUUAUUUUGAUGGCAUUGUGCUGGUCUGUUCUCCUUUUUCAUGUAAACAUAUAUCAAUACCAAAGAAGAAAAUCAACUUGAAAUGUUAAAUAUGGUGCCAGAUAGAACUACAGAUGCAGAUGUGCUUGUUUGACAUUGUACCUUGCAAUCCAGAAACUCUGGUGCACCCCAGAGUAGAAGCAUUCAUUAGGUGCAUUCCUCUUUAAGCUUCUCAGAACACUGGUGAGCUGUCGUUGUGUGGGCCCACUCUGAGCAUCGCAGCAUCAAACUCCACCUAAUCCCAGUGAGGAUCCUGGAUCUGAGUCCUUCUGUCUAAGCCACUGUUCAGCCUACAGGAGUAUAUGUUCCUAAUGUGGGAUUCACGUCUUCCACUUCACAGGCCAAAAGGCAUCAAGUCUUUCUCCUUCUUCUCUGAAGUUUACAGCUAAUCUUUAAAAUGAGCUGAAUGCGGGAACACCAGUUGGCGGAAGCUGUAUGCAUCUUUGAAAAUGCAGGUCCCUUUCUGGAAUUUACAUUUCAAGGAGAGCAGAUCUGUAUGGAUUAGUGAUGCAUAUAUCUACUUGAUUUGUUAGCACUCUUCAUUCCUGCUCAGCGUUUUUGGGAAGGACAGAGUUGAUGGAAUGAAUUCAAUGAUCAUUUUAGAGUUUACUAAUACCAGAAGAAAUAUAUUAUGCAUAGUAUAAUUUGAGUAGGGGGUUGGGUUUUUUGGUUUGGUUUUACAUAAAUCAAGAUUCUUAUCUGAAGUUUUGUUUUGGUAAAUGGUCUUAACCUCUGCAUAACAGAAUUCAAUAAAUACAAUAGACUAUAAUUUAACAUUACAAACUGUUUCAAUCAGUUUCUCAUUUUGUGGUCUGAAAAAUAUUAUCUCAUACAGUCCUGACCCUCUCCGUUCUUACUGUCUUCAAAAGAUGACCCUUCUGUCCUCAUCCUCAGGAGGGGGAUCAGAUCAACUUAACAGAAGAUCCACUGAGCCAUACUUUAGUAACACUGACAUCAAAAGUACUCCAUUUUUGGCACUUGGAAUUCAAAACUAGUCAAAUUUUGGAAAGAACUGGAGGCUCACAAUCAGUUUAAAGAUGUUAUUAACAAGACAGUCCUCAAUUUAAGAAAUUACAAAUAUCUCUUAUGAAUUUCCACAAUUGAUAACAAACCAUAAACUAUUCUUCUCCAAAUGGGUCAUCAAAGGACUUUCAUCUCAUUAUCUGAUACUCAAGAGGUGUUUGCAGAAAUAAAUUUCAUGUGGGAAGGUUGCUUAAAGAGAUCAUGCAGUUUUUUCAAAGGUUGUUGGGAGCGUCUGAAACAGAUGACAUAGUCACAUGUGUAAGACUACUGCAGAAUUCACGAUGAUUUGAGCAGCUCUUUGAUGUUGUUUUGCAUUCCACAAAUAUUAAGCUUUCACUUUAAACUGUUCCUUUCCUUUUUUAGUUAAAAUGCCAUAGUUAUAGUUGCUUUGAUCUAAUAUCACUGAGAAUUAGCAAUAUCAAGCAACUGCAGCUGUAACUGGAUCAAUUUAGCCUUUGCCACAAUAAGCAGCACACCCACACUUAAUACCUAGAUGAGUCUAAUGUUAGUAUUUUUUUUUAUACGGGCUAUAUAUAUUUCCUAUAGUACAUAAAGAAAAAGCAUUGGGAAACAUAAGAGCUAGGUUUUUGCCCCAAAAAGCUCCUAGUACAUAACUGAUAGGAAGAAAACAAAGAGGUUCCUCUGUUGCACUCACCCCCAUUGUUUUACCAGGAAGAGGGUUGGAUUUUUUCAUUGUAUCCUCUGUAUCGAGCUGCUCAAAGGCCUUGGGCUGAGUUCCGGUCUUUUCUUUCACAGUUUAGCCGUGAUAGAGGAUUUACAGUUCCUCUUAAAGAAUAGCUGUUAAAGCAGAGACAUUUUUGGAAUAUCCAUAGGCAAUAUUGUGGAGAACUUUACGGAGGGCAUACACUUAGUGCACAUCGUUGUAUGCUGCUACACAACAUCAACUCCUUCAGUAUCCUUUUGAUACAAAACCAAUAGAUAAUCCUAUAAAAUGCAUCGAAGAAAAAUUAGAUUGACUACUGUAAGGAAGUGCAUCCGCAUACAGAGUUUUCAGUCUUCAUGCACAUUUCAAGAGCGCAUCAAAAAGAAAUUUAAAAAUUGGGUUGAUUCCAGCAAGUUUGACUGCUAAUUGCCUUUGUCAAUUCAGAUGCUUUCAUGAGUUGGACAAAAAUUUUGAUAUUGUUGUAAUACCUGUAAUUUCUUGUUUAAUCUAUGUGGUCAAAAACAAAAAUACAGGUUAGUACUUUAUAGGAACAGAGUUUAAAAAAAAAAAAAAGAAAAAGAGAGAAACACCCCCCCCAAUACCUUGAUUCAUAGUAAGAGUUGCACAAUAACAAUACUCACAAUAACAUUUCCUUGCAGGGAAAGGAACAUUUAAAUUAUUUAAGUAAAGAUUAUACUCCUGUAGAUUAUUGUUUUCUAUACUUGUGUAUUUGAUCCUUCAUUUCCUUCAAAAGUUUGAAUUUUAUCAUAGAAUUGUACAGAUGCAUUGGAAUUAAAAUCAGUAAUAAUUUGCCUAGCACAUUAAUCAUUACCAGCAGUUAAUGGUCAAUAUUUAGUUACUGGCCAAAUAAUUUCCACUUUGAUUAUUUCAAGUUUCAAUGUAACUUACUAAAUUGUUUUGCUAUUUUAUAAAACAAAUUUAAAGGUUAGAACCAGCAGCAGAUAAAAAGACUCUGUAGUAUCAUUUGGUGAUUAUAGAGGAAUUGUCAUGUCUUUAAGGUUAACUAACAGUGACAUGAGCUUACCACAAUUCCUGAAAAAUUUUUGGAAGCCAAGAUACUAAGGGAACUGCAACGCAUAAAUUAGUACUUGAAGUUGAAUCUGCUACUUAGGGAAAAUACAACAGAUUAAAACAGACUGACAUAAAUCAUACUUUCCUGGUAAAACAGAUGUGGUGUAAAGUGUACAGUAUCUCAUGUAUUAGCCCAUGUAACAAGUACUAUGAAGUCUAUUUUCUGAUGCAAAAUGGUCUUACACUUUUACAUUGUAUGUUCUUUUAGUUCCAUUACAAAAACCUCUCGGUAAGUGUUUAAAGAAAAACAUCUUAAUGUAAAAGCUUUACCAGUGGUACAGUGUUUCUCAAAGGACAUUUCUAUGGUUUUGUAUUGUUUUCUCUGAGAUAAAAAGGUGGCUUGAGUCACACUACAAUAAAAGUAGAGAGUUAUCACAC